ACGGGAGGCAGCAGUGGGGAAUAUUGCACAAUGGGGGAAACCCUGAUGCAGCGACGCCGCGUGAAGGAAGAAGUAUCUCGGUAUGUAAACUUCUAUCAGCAGGGAAGAAAGUGACGGUACCUGACUAAGAAGCCCCGGCUAACUACGUGCCAGCAGCCGCGGUAAUACGUAGGGGGCAAGCGUUAUCCGGAUUUACUGGGUGUAAAGGGAGCGUAGACGGCAAGACAAGUCUGAAGUGAAAGGCAUGGGCUCAACCUGUGGACUGCUUUGGAAACUGCCUUGCUUGAGUGCCGGAGGGGUAAGCGGAAUUCCUAGUGUAGCGGUGAAAUGCGUAGAUAUUAGGAGGAACACCAGUGGCGAAGGCGGCUUACUGGACGGUAACUGACGUUGAGGCUCGAAAGCGUGGGGAGCAAACAGGAUUAGAUACCCUGGUA
rnacentral:rRNA from 1 species